rnacentral:misc_RNA from 1 species
CCACGCACGUUUCUUUUUCCCUACGCCCCGUGUUCCUUCUCUGCACUGCUUCCUCUGCUCCAUCUUCAAGCACGCCGCGCUCCAAAUCGCCUGCUGUUCCUCUUCCCUAGCCAUGGCCACGCCUAGCUCGCCGGCGUUCAGGCCACGGCUUCCUCCUCCAACUCCGGUCGGCCAAGAGCCUAGUUGCCCCCUUGUUUCUCUCCCUCCAUUUCCCAGCAGCGCCCUGUCCCUGUCGAAGCCCUUCUAUGGCGCGCGUGGAUUUAUCCUCCUCAAUCCCCAGCCAGCCUGCGAGCUCCUCCCUCCUCCCUGCAUCCAUGGAGCUCGGCGCCCAUCUCCAUGGCUCGCCCUGCGUCCAGCCGCCGCGCCCGGUUCCGAGUCCCUUUCCUGGCCGAGUUCCCUGCUCCAUCUCUGCCCUCUGCCGGCGCUCCAGCUCCUCCAUCCAUGGCCAUGCCCUGCUGCUCAUCGGUGCUCGCCGCGGGAGACGACGCUUGGUCGCCCAACCUUCCUCCUCACCGGCUGUCGCUCCCAAUCUUCAGCUCAUCGACUCACCGUCGUGUUUCUUGUUCUCCCUCGUCGGUCGGCCUCGCCGUGGCUAAGUAUGUCCACCGUGCUAUGUGCUUCGGUCUUUGGUCGCUGCCUCUUGCUCACCAUCCCCUAUUCGAUCUCGUCGUCAAGCUUCGCCUCAGCCUUAGCUCGUCGGUCACGCUCGUCAGAUGUGCGAUCGAGGACUUCAGCUGAAGGCCGUCGUCAGACAACUACCAAAUCGAGUUGUGAUGUGGUACGAUCGUUGAUCGCGUAAUGUGGAAGACGACCCCAAGUCGACCCAGGAUAAUGCAGAGAUUGGACAUCUCCGCAAGACGACGUCGUCAGUCGGACGAACCUGAAUAUGGAUAAUGUGAUGAAUGCCAAGACAAAGGAUGGUCAUCAAGUGGACAUCGUCUAACAAACACUAACUUAGUGUUACCCAGGUUAUAGUUUUGUGCUGCUGUUGAUGGUGUUAAGUGCCGGUGGGCUCGACCUUCUUAUAAGUCUAAGUAAUUCUUCUAUACUUCUUAUUGAGGAUGGUCACAUGAGCUAGCAUAUAUUUCAAACUUACAAAUAAUUUAUAAUAUCUCAAAGUUAUUCCUUUGAACCACUUUUGUAAUCAC